AACGCGAAGAACCUUACCCAGGCUUGACAUGCAGUAGACCGGUCCAGAGAUGGGCCAUUCCUUCGGGACUGCUGCACAGGUGCUGCAUGGCUGUCGUCAGCUCGUGCCGUGAGGUGUUGGGUUAAGUCCCGCAACGAGCGCAACCCUUAUCAUUAGUUGCCAACAUUUAAGGUGGGAACUCUAAUGAGACUGCCCGGGUUAACCGGGAGGAAGGUGAGGAUGACGUCAAGUCCGCAUGGCCCUUAUGUCUGGGGCUACACACGUGCUACAAUGGGCGGAACAGAAGGCAGCGAAACCGCGAGGUGGAGCAAAUCCCGAAAACCGCCCUCAGUUCAGAUUGUAGUCUGCAACUCGACUACAUGAAGACGGAAUUGCUAGUAAUGGCGAGUCAGCAACAUCGCCGUGAAUACGUUCCCGGGCCUUGUACACACCGGAGUGC
rnacentral:rRNA from 1 species